rnacentral:rRNA from 1 species
UACGUAGGGACCGAGCGUUGUCCGGAUUCAUUGGGCGUAAAGAGCUCGUAGGCGGCUGUUCAAGUCGAACGUGAAAACUCGGAGCUCAACUCCGAGCCUGCGUUCGAUACUGGACGGCUAGAGUCUGGUAGGGGGAUCUGGAAUUCCUGGUGUAGCGGUGGAAUGCGCAGAUAUCAGGAAGAACACCCGUGGCGAAGGCGGUUCUCUGGGACGGUACUGACGCUGAGACGCGAAAGCGUGGGGAGCGAACAGG